ensembl:lncRNA
ACCCGGAGCAGGCGCAUAGGAGGGCUGGGGAGGGCCACCAGGGCGACGAGAGCCGGUGAGCCUGAAUCAGCCUAAAGGAGGCGGAGGAGGAGUGUGGUGGGCGCAGGGCCAGGGAGCUGGGGGAAGGGCGGGGGGCUAGCCCAGGCUGAAGGCAGGCAGGAGCAGGGCCGCGAUGUCAGACCAGAAACAGCAACACUGUGUUUGGGAACCUAGCAGCAACCGCACCGGUGGAGACAAGGUCGGCUGGAGAGGAGGUGGGGCCGGGUCCUAGCUAAGUAAGGCGGUGGACCUUGCAGCCCUUCCACCCUCAGCAGCUGGCUCUGGGCAAAUCUCGGGGCCAGUCUUGGCAGGGCUGUAAAGCGUCCACCAGAGCCUGGAUCCCUCCGCCACCUUGCCCAUGAAUUCAUCUUUCUGUGCACAGCGAGCCCCUAAGCGGAGACGGCCGACAAGUUUCCCACUGUUACCCCAGGGAACAGCGGCCCCUGAGGAGGUCAGGUCCUGGGGAGGGGCAGAGCUCAGCGCGCAGUACUGAGGCAGAAACGGGGUCCAGAGAGGGUGGGGUGGGGGACAGCGAAGGGUCGCCUGAAGCUCCCUGGUGCGGGGAGGCCAGAGGAGGGAUCUAGAAACCGUAGCGAGACGAGAACUCAGAAAAGAUCCGGCCCAGCGCAUUUAUUUUACGGAGGAAGAAAAACUGAGGCCCAGGGAGGUUUACCUGGAAGGUCCUCUCCUGCGCUGGCUCUGGGGGUGCUUGGAACCAGAGCUCCUUAGUCGAAGCGUGUCCUGCUGUCAGCCAACACCAAGUCCUUAGGCCGAGCCGGUUUCUCUCCUGGUGAUGUGAAUCCUGGUUUUUUUGUUGUUGUUGUUUACCGAAGUCCCGGGCUGAUUAGACUGGCAGCUGGGGGUGGCCUGGGCCGUGCAUUGAAUUUGUGACUUUAGCAAGUCCCUAAAAUUCCUCUCUGCCUCACUUUUGCUGCCUUUUUUAGGUUAAAAGUGUUUUGGAGAAUAGAAAACAAAACAAAAAUAAUGGCUUAUAGUGCCAAUAUGGAAUUAUAAUCACUCCUAACAUUUUGGUAUAUUGUUUGUAUUUGCUUUGUUUUUAUCUUAUGCUUAUGUAUUAAUUUUUUUCCAUCACUGUCAUCAUAUUUCCUAUUCAGGUCUUCAGCCUGCUUUAAAAAUUUUUUAAUCGUGAAGUUCCGUAAAAAUUUUAUUUCAGCCAAUUUCUUUUAUAACACGUUCUUCAUGAAUCUUAUCUGAUAUCUGCAUAAUAUUCCACUCAUACUUUGCCCAAUUAGACAUUUAGGUCGUGCGUACUUUUUAAAUUAUGAUACAGUAAUUUCUAAAUAGUGUAUAAUUUCAAUUUUUGUUUCUUAGUUAUCAUAAGAGUUCUUAAAAGGUGAUAACAAUUUUUUAAGUGGAUAGAUUAUUUUCCCCCUUCCUUGGUUUAUAAUUUUAUUGCUCUGUGGUCUGAGAAUGUGGCUGUCUUUACGCUUUUUGAAAUUUAAGUUUUUGAUUGAUGGUUGAUUUCAUAAAUUAGUGUAGGCACAGUUUUGUAUACUUGAUUGGGCACAAAAUUCUUUUAUAUUAGAUCAAGCUUUGUAAAAUGUAUUACCCAUAGCUGCUAUGUCUUUUUAAAAUUUUUAUCUACUUGAUCUAAUUUCUGAAAGAACUGUAAGUUUUUCAAAUGUAUUUGUGGAUUUACUAUUUCCUCUUUGUAUUUCUAACAGUUUGUACAUUGUAUAUUUUAAAGUGAUGUUAUGGAGUAUAAAAACCACAUAGCUGUUAAAAAGUAAUAAACAAAGAUACAUUUUGGCAU